CUCUCUACAUAGCUACAAACAAUGUCUUAAAAUAAAUCUUAUGUCUUAAAACAAGACUUUGCGCACUGCGUCAGAAAAUGUCCGACACUAUGAGUACCAGGGCGCAACGCAGCGGAGAGUUCCGACAGGAGAUAAGGGUAAUAACCGUCUCUCAUCUGAGUAUGGAGGGACAAAACUAGGCUAUACAAGAGUGGGGUAUGCCGGAGUCCACACUCACACACCUCGUCAUCUGCAUCACACCUAGCCAAAAUAUACAUGGCCCAGACCACCAUCUCACCACGUUACUCAGUACUCGUCCCUCUUUCGUUCAUUACCAGUACCAACAAGGCUGGUAUGACGAGGCUACUGCCAUCCGUCUAUAUAGGGACUUCCUCAGAACAAACGACCCUGCCAUCGUUGUCUUGUCCGAGGUUACCACACCUAUGUUCAUUGAGGUGCAGAGGAAUGAGGUUCCUCUCCGUCGAAGAAGUGUGAGGGAGUUGUGGAGACAAAACUCAUAGUGAGAGAAGACAUGGUGAAAAUGCAUAGGUCCGGGAUCCCACCGUUGUUCCUCUUGAGGAAAAUGAAUUUCCCUUCUUAAAACGAUUGGUUUAAACUUUUCACUCAUUUGCUUCAGUUGUGUUUUAUCUUCUACCAUCAUACUUGGAUUUUCUUGUGCUAAGUUAAAGUUGCAGUUACGCUUCA